rnacentral:rRNA from 1 species
UACAGAGGUCUCAAGCGUUGUUCGGAUUCAUUGGGGCGUAAAGGGUGCGUAGGCGGCGCGGUAAGUCGGGUAGUGGAAAUCUUGGAGCUUAACUCCGAAACUGCAUUCGAUACUGCCGUGCUUGAGGACUGGAGAGGAGACUGGAAUUUACGGUGUAGCGGUGAAAUGCGUAGAUAUCGUAAGGAAGACCAGUGGCGAAGGCGGGUCUCUGGACAGUUCCUGACGCUGAGGCACGAAGGUCAGGGGGAGCAAACGGG